UCUGUGGGGCCUUGUGGCUCAUCAGAAAGCCUAUCCCUUCUGGAGCAGAGUGGGCUUUUGCCUCCAGGGAAACAAGAGGGUCCCGUAGCCCUGUUUUUAAAGCACGCCUCGUGGGUAUGUUCUCAGUUAAGUACGGUCCGCCGUUCUGCCCUUCAGAGGUAUUUCUAUUGACACAGAAGCCACUGGCUAAAAUCUGGAGAUGUUUUUCUCUGUCCUUGGAAAGACAGCGGUGUUCACUGUUCACCCUCACCUUGGGUGUCCAGUGGGACUGGUCAGAAGAGUUGAUGUUCCUCCAGCAUACUCUCUGCUCUGUGGGUCUUUCUGAGGCACGGGAUUCAGUCGUGGCACAUUUCAGGAGUGCCAGAGGCUAGUUUUUGUAACCAGUAAACAGUAGGUGCUAUUGAGGAAUAGAGACACGUUCUCUGAAACAAAUCGGUAAAUACAUGACUGAAUAGAGUCAGGGCAGGGUGAUUUCUUGUAUCCAGUUGUGUGCUGUGAUGAAAUAGCCUUUACUCUAUGAUAAAAUAGCCUUCUCACUGAUUUUGUAGGCUGUGCUGCCCUGAAAGAUUCCCAGAGGUCUUUACUGACUGUGGAUGUACGUGUGCAUGUGUGUGUGUAUAAUGGGGACGGGCUUUCCUGAUACUGUGCCAAGUGCUGGAACACCCGAGUUCAUUUUAGAAUGGCUGUUUUUUAGAGCACCAGUGUAGUUUCUGAGGAGAUUUCAGUUAGAAACAGUGGAGUUAGAGGAACGCCUUGCGUGGUUUGAGGGCAGGUACCUGCAACUCCAGUCAGCACAGAUCGCUAAGAGUAGCCCUGCUACCAUGUGCUGUUAAUUUCAGAGGCAGUUCUCUCCUACUGGGUCACAGAGGCUGGAGGGUGGCACGUCCAAGGUGUCCACCUAGUGUGUCCUCAUUUCACCCCUUCUUUUGAUACCUUUGUUCCCCUUUCUGGUGCUAGCCUCUCCCCCCACCUGUUGAUUUGGGUGGCUCGUCCCCUCAGGGUGCCCAGCAUUCCUCUCUCCAUUCUCCUCUCUUAUCCCUGCUCCCCUGCACCCCACAUGGUGACUCCUUCUGUCCUGCGGAAUCUACUUGUCCAGUUUCCCUCUCCUUCCACCCAGUCAUGUUCCACCAGACGGCCUUGUUAACCCAGUAGCACUGAUGGGCUUACAUGUGUGUGGUCCUCUCUGUAUCGGUCAGUGACUCUUCAUGUUAACUCCAUAACUCAGUUUCCCCUCUUUGAAAAUGAAAUACUAGGUUAAUUAUCUGACACUAAUUAAUAAUAAAUUUAGUCUACUAAAUAUUCCUUUCACCAGAAGGAUCCCGUUGGGAAUAUUUGACAUUUAGGAAUAUGAGCUUUAUGUUGAAUCUGGCAAGAUUCAGUGAAUCACAGUGCUGUUUUUUGUAUCGUGCCAUAUCAGAAAUGGGACUGGAGUAUGAGUUACAUAACAAUUUAAUAUACAGAAAUAAUAAAAAUCAUAUAGCCAGAAGUUAAAUGUCCAAAGUUCUUCGUGUUGGGCAUUAAAUUUAGUAUACUAUACAUAGCAGUUUAUAAUGUCAAACCGCAUCAUUUGCUUAAUCAAGUAGGGGUUCUAACGUGUUGUAUAUUCUCUGCCCAUUUUGCUGUCACCUGUGUUAGUGCAGUUCUGUCCCCUAAAUUAAGAGACUUGCUUUCUAUGUGACCUGUUGGUGACACGUGUCCCUGCUUUGUCUUCUGUUUAGAGAUUUGGUUCCGAGUCCUGGCAUUCAUGUUGUUUUCUCUUUAGGGUGCAUAUUUGAAAACCAGGGGUUUUCAGUUAUAUUUGAAACUUAAUCGUACUUUUAUUUCUUGUUCAAAGCCAAAAUGUAAGUAGUGAUUACUUCAUCUUUAUUCUUAUUACACUUUUGAAUAAGAGCUUAGGUAUCUUCAUAAAGUGGAUCCUUCACAAAGGAGAAUGGGUCCAGACAACCACUAAAACAUACGUUUUCACCCCCAUUUUCUCCCUCCUGGUAAUAUAGGUCGAUUUGAAAAAUAACAUCAAGAUAUAAGAAAGGGCAAAACUGGUAAAUACAAAUUGAGUUUUCUGACACAGAUCAAAGAGGUGAGAGAAUUUGAGACCAUGUUCCUUACAGUUUGAGACAAUAAAUGGGGCAGAAAUGGCAUAAAUGGUGAGGGUGAAACAGUUGAACAGUAAAGAUGAGCUAGUAUUGAAACCGUACUUGGGCAUUAAUAAUUUCUCCCUUAAACCAUGCACUGUGGCCUGUGAGGCCUCCUUUGGCUCAUCAGUUUUUAUGUGGGCUAAAGGUACUUGUUUGGAAGAUGUAAAUAUCCUCAUGUUUUUUUAAUGGAGAAAGGUUGGAACAAUUAUGCCUUCAAUUCUGAUCAACUGACAGUCCUUGAUUUCACAUGAGCCACACUGAGAGAAAGCACAUACUGUUUCGGUGAUGUAAUACACAUCUCUAGAAAGAGGAGCUUGACAGGCAGACCUUGCUGUGAUUCUUGCUAAAGGCUAGAUUGGAUUGAUUGAUAUGUUUCUGGUUUUGUUAUGAACCUGGGAGGGAAGCGGGAAGACAUCCUAUACAUCUAGCAUUUUGUUUAAUAAUUUGGAAGAAAAACAUUUCUAACAGUAGUCACACUUCAUUUUUUUCCCUGAAACUGGACAUUAAUUGUUGGCAUAUUUGAAAAAUCUGCCCCAAAGAUGCAUCCUGUGAGAGCAGUCAGAAACUAACUCAGGUUGAGGACCAGUUGGAACACCUUGAAGAUCUAAGCAAUAGUAACUCUCUAAGGAAUUUCCUUUGAACUGGUGCCUUGCUAUUUUUAAAAAUGAAUCCCGUUGACACCAGAUUCACACAAUAUAUAUAUUUUAAUUUUUUUAAUGUUUAUUUAUUUGAGAGAGAGAGAAAGAGUGUGAGCAGGGGAGAGGCAGAGAGCAAAGGAGACAAUCCGAAGGAGGCUUCAGGCUCUGAGUGGUCAGCACAGAGCCUGAUGUGGGGAUCGAACUCAUGAACCACGAGGUCAUGACCUGAGCUGAAGUCGGACGCUUAACUGACUGAGCCACCCAGGCGCCCCACAAUAUUUUUUAACGUUUAUUUAUUUUUGAGACAGAGAGAGACAGAGCAUGAACGGGGGAGGGGCAGAGAGAGGGAGACACAGAACGGGAAGCAGGCUCCAGGCUCCGAGCCAUCAGCCCAGAGCCCUACGCGGGGCUCGAACUCACCGACCGCGAGAUUGUGACCUGAGCUGAAGUCGGACGCUUAACCGACUGAGCCACCCAGGCGCCCCAUUUUUUAAAAGAAAUCAGUGCGUAGCAUAGCUUGUCUGUCAGUAAGAGCAGGCACUGCCCUUUCAUCAUUCAUUGACCCAGACUCGCCCCCUACACCACAUGCUUUCAGGUGCUUCAUCCAGAAAAUGAAAAUGAGAGACUGCAGACCCCGGGGAGAGGCUCCUGUGACGUUGGUCACACUGAACUCUCUUGAAUACAAAAGACUGUACAAAUACUCGUGUUUUAAAUCUCCCCAGAUUUUUGCUAUCUCGUAAUUGAGGUGUCUUUUAAGAAUUCCUGCUGUGUUUAAGGGUUCCUUUAUGAGGAUGCACCUGUGAUUUUGUGUGUGCACAUUUCCUGUAAGCCUAAGCUUCUCUAAGCUUGAGGGCAGUUGGAAUCUUCCAGUGAGCUUGCUUGCUUUUGCAAGAUCUUACUGGUUUCUCUGAAGGACAUUUUUUGUAAUUUAAUUAUUUGAAAGUAUGAAAAUACAAUCUUUUGAUUUUAUUAUCUGAGGUUGUAAUUCUUGAAGAUGGAAUUUGUCUGGUAGGCUUCACUUGAUUUUUUUUUUUAAUGUUUGUUUAUUUUUGAGAGAGACAGAACACAAGUAGGGGAGGGGAAGAAAGGGAGGGAGACAGAGAAUCCCAAGCAGGCCCCGCCCUGCCAGGGCAGAGCCGAAACCAAGAAUCAGACGCUUAACCGACUGAGCCACCCAGGUUCCAAGGUCCUUGCUUUUAAUUGUCACCUAUGGAAAAAAAUCCUAAAUUUUAAAUAACUUUCUAAGAGUAGCAACCCUUAAAAUGACAGGAAUCAUAAUGGAGGGUGGGGGAAUGUCCUUCAUCCCUUAUAAAGGUAUUUAAUCUUUUUGUCAAAAAUCUUUCCUUGCUCCCUAAUUAGCUUAAUACGUAAUUGGCCAUAAAACGUGUGUAUUUACUUGCUCUUAAAAACCAGAAGUGUGGUGUUGUAUUCCUUUCAGCAGCUACCAGAAUGGUGGGGAUUUUUUUGUUUUAAGUGGGGAGAACACUAGUUUGUUGCAGACGUCACCAGGCGUGACAUAACCGAGAAGUGGAGGAAACCUGGCCCCCGGAGCUCCACGUCUGACCUGGAGACCACAGGGCUGGAAGUCAGCCGGGGUGGGGGCAGGGCUGUGGCUCUGAGAGCCCUUUGACCUCCUUGUCCCAGCCUGGCCACAGCUCACUUUAGCAGUCCAGGCCCUGAAUGUCCCUCUCUUGCCAACUCAACUGUUAGGGGAUCAGAUGCUCACUGCGUUUGGGCAGGUUGCGCAUUCUGAAUGUGCUACUUGCAGAAAGUGGUAGCAUCUGUUAAACUUUUCAUUUGAAACCUGGAUGCCGCUGUUCUGUUGGAACAUCACACAUGUGUGAGGUGUCUCCAGCCUUACUGUGGGCAUGAAGAUUGUAGAGAGCCUACAGAGGCUUUUGAAGUUUUUUACCAGCAUGACUUCAGAACGGUAUUGGUAGUUUGGUUAUGAAUAACUGUUUUAUGAUGUUUCAGGAAAAAUGUAUUUAUUUGUUCACCUUUGUAUUUUUUUGUUCGCCUUUAAGUUGGGGGGAAAAAAGAAAGGAUUUUCUUUUAUCAGUGUCUAUUUUAUCUUAAGAAUUUUUUCUGAAGUCAUCCUUUGCUUAUUUUACCCAAAAGCUGAUUAGAGUUCAUUGAUAGAAAAUAAUAGGCUAUACAAGUAACUACAGAAAAUAUUUGUGUCCUUAGGACAUAUAAGUCAUCAGAAGUAUUGCCACAUUUGGUCGUAAAGGUUGUACAGGGUUUUAUUGUUUGAGAUUAUAGUAUAAAAAAUAACACCGUAUCUUGGGCACCAGAGCUUGAUGAAUUCCGGUGUGCUACAGAAAUUUAACUUGCAUUUUUUCCCUAGAAUAUUCACCUUUCUUCUCCACCUCUCAGUUUGUGGAGUAAAUAAGGCAUCAUCUUUGUUCUGGGCAUAGUGCCUCCAGGAGAUGGCUGAGGGACGGGGACAGGAUGGUAAAUCGUCCAGUUUGCUAAACUAGAAAGGAAAAGCCCGUAAGUGCUGUUUAUUUCUCUUCAGCUGCUCUCUGCAGGCCUUCAGACGCUCCUGGAGAAGGAAGUGCUUAGUCCUGAAAACUAUGGCAACAUUAUAAGUGAUUUAUCUGUAUAGUAUAGCCCAUUACCUGGCAGACAAGCUCAUAAAUUCCUGAACGUUUAUCUGGCUUCACUUGCUGAUUUAUCGUUAUCCUGAGCAGCAUUAUUACUGGGCCCCUACUUACCGAAUGUGACCAGGAGUAUGGUGCCUUGGCGGGGAAUGUUGGCACCUCCGAUGUGUACAGAAUACAUGGAGCUCUUUCGGUGAAAGUUGCUCGGUGUGAAGAAUGCUUUCAGUGUGAGAAACCAUCCAUCCAUCCAUCCAUCCAUCCAUCCAUCCAUCAAUCCACCCAUCCUCACUCUGUGCAAGGCCUGUAUCUCUCAAAAGUAAAGCUACAUGUAUGUACUGUCCUGAGACAGGAGAAGGAACGGAAGUUUCCUAAAGAAUAAAGUACAUUCAAGCAAGGUGGAAAACAACACUGAUUCCUGUCAUUAUACCAAAGGUGAUGGUAUAAACUAAACCAAACGCUCUGGAAAACUAGAUCCCAUCAACCAUGAAUGACAGAGCUAGAUAGGAAUGAGCCCAGCCCAGAAUGUAGUUGGGAGAACAUGCUGUUUCCAGCAGCUGCAAUUUCACAUACAUCAGACUGUGAAUUCUUCUGUGCUUUGGUUUCUAGGCAACUUGCACAAAUUUUAAAUCUGAAUAUAAACACAUAAACUCUCCCCUCCCCUCCCCUCCCCAACCAAAAAAAACCCUCCUGAAUACAAUGAUAGAAAGCCUAGUGACAUAACCCCUGUUUGCCACAACUCUUGGUAACUACAGCAAACAAAUCCAGGCCACUACCUGGCUAUUUAGAGAUUCUGGUGGUUAAAUCUAGGAAGUGAAGACAAAGCAGCUGUAAAUAACUCCUUUUGUUGCAAAAUGAUUAAUAUUUCUACGGUACGAACAAAUCGUGGGUAUUCUGCUUCCAGGAUCCCCUGCAAGAGAAGGGAUCUCCUCAUGGAAAUGGUUUCUUUCAUUAAGGGAGAUUUCUUUUCCUGUAUUUUUAAUUUGUCCUGUAUUAAGAUUGUUAGAAGUCGUAGAUCUCUUUAUUGACAGCAGCAUGUUUUGUCCAUGAAGGGGUACUGGAUGGUUUCUUGAAUACUGGCUUAUCUUACCUUUUCCUGUAGCGGCUCUCAGGACUCACGGAGUCCUGUUUGGAUGGAUCAGGGCCUACACUGCCACAGGGAGGGAAAUGAUAGGAGCAGUCCCUGAAUCAGUGUGGCUGACUGUUGGUGUUGGGGAUUUGGACUUCAAGAUAACCGUGGCGAGUUUAUAGGUGAGGCAGGUUUAAUAAAGUUGCCAGUAAAUGUGGCAGUCGCAGUGAUCUUGGUAGACCAGGCACUGUUUAGAUUCAUGUGGGAAACUCCCAGCCCUAGGUUUGAAAGCAGGGUUAUUGUGGAUCCACUAGGCAGACAGAAGUUGAAUGGGACACCUGUGGGGAUUUGCCCAUUGCCUCUAAAUAUUUAGUAGUGUAGGGGCGCCUGGGGGAUCAGACAGUAUGCUUUAUGCACUUUGGGAGUCUGCAUCUUGAGGAGUGUGGAUCAGUUGGGAAACGUCCAAAGAGAGGUAAUAUUAGAGAAUAAACAUUAAGAUCUAUGAGGAGAGUUUUUCUGUCUAGUAGCAGCAAUGUUUGAGGCUUUGGGGAUGAACUGCCAGCAGGGUUCUAGCUUUUGUGCCUCUGGACAAGUCACUGAGUGCCUCUCAAAACUCUCCUGUAGUGAGGAAGCCAGACAUCCUGCCAUCUUUGUAUUUUGUCCUGUAUUCAAAGGAGGUGUCCACAAGAUAAUCUGUAUUUUCACAGGACAAAAAUUAAGUGAUUUAAACUGCACUGGCGGGUUUAAGAGUCCUAUUUUUGCAAAUUAUAAAUCAAUAUACUGUGUUACUAAUAGAAACGGUUAAUAAAUUCAUAUUUUUACACAGCUGUAUCUUGAUCUUAGCUCAGAUGUUGAUCUCAGGGUCAUGGGUUCGAUCCCCGCACUGGGCUCCACACUAGGCUUGAAACCUACUUAAAAACAAAAAGAAAACCCACAACAUUUUACUUUAAUAAUACUUCUCCUAAAGUCUUUAGGGCAGGCUAUACAAUAGAAACAACUUAAGAGUUUACUAAUUUGUUUACCCCUGCUAUGGACAUCAUGUUUGUUUAUUGUCAUUCCUUCAUUUUUCAUGUUAUUAAUUUUUAAGUCUUUAAAAUGGCCCCUGGUGUUAUUUACUGUCAAGAACAGUGACUUGUAACGGCAGACCAAGAUUGCUGACAUUAUUUUUUAUUUCUCAGAGUUUGUAAAAACUUUUCAGGAUGUUAAAUUUCUUAAGUUAGUACAUGAUUGAUAUAUUUCCUUUUCCCACAGAACUAAAGCAUGUUAAGGAUGCUAUUUUAAUUUAAUUUAAUUUAAUUCUGGGAAUAUAAUAAGAAUAGCAUUAGGGGCUUGUAGGAAGGGCUAGAAGAGGAAGCACGGGUCUUGUUAGCCCUCCUCGAACACAAGCAGCACCAGGUGGAGACGGUUUCUCCUCAGUUCCAGAGGACCUCAGGAGGGGAGAGGAGCACAGGGGUCAGGUGGCUUUGAGGCCGCAGCUUCACCAGAGGGCCCUGCUUCCCCAAGCCCUUCCCAUAGGCUUGUGUCUACAUUGAUAGGAAUAACCGUCCGUACAUAAUCAAACAUCAGUUACUUUCCUGUGCUUUGUAAAAUUUAAUGCCUGGCCUCUUUUUCCUGUGGGUUUUUUUUCCCCUUUAGAAUUACAUUGCCAUCAGGAAUGGUUUUCUGAGAACUAGGGACGAAGGAGGGCUGUAUUUCACAGUGUGCAAUUCUGCUAAUAAAAAUGGAUGGUCAAACACAAAGCCAAGUUUAGCUUCCAGCUAAAUGCUUCCAGCAUUUAGACCAUUGUACAGCCACAUGAUAAGCACUUUUUUCUAAAGAAGAAUGUCAAGGCCCAGGUCCAAGUGUGUUUCAUCUUGGGCUGCUUCCCAGUGCCUGAGGUUCCACAUUUUCCAGUUCUUCUCCAGAACCUGCCUCCAUCCCUGGGAUUAAAGAGCAGGGAGAUCUGACUCCUUUGCUCAUUUCUGACCAAGUGCUCCAAGAGACACCUACUGGUGAGGAUGCUUUCCCCCUCCCUCCGGUUGAGUGUUCAUGGAGGUGAGGCCAUUUGUGACAGAACUACCCCUCCCCCCUCAGCCUUCCUCUCUUGCAGGAGGGAGGGUCUUAAUUUGGAAUGAUUCCAGCUCCUCUCCUGCUGGUUUAGCUUCACAGACCAAGUAAUGCCAAAAGAGAGCCAAAGGUAUUUAAAAAAAACCACUGAUCCAAGUGAGGUAUGAUUGGAAACAAUUGCUUUUCUAAUAUAGACAUGGCAAAGAAUUACACUUCUUCCCUCAGUGAAGAGUUUACCUGGAAAGAUACGGCUCAUUAAUUCUCUUUGGAAAACAUAAAGUGUGAAAUUUGGAAAACAUAAUUGGGCAGUUCCGUGAUAAAGUCUGUAUACCAUAAAAAAAAAAGAAAUUAAUGGCACUGAUCUUGUGGAUGUGUGGAUUGCUCCGUCCUCUUAACCUGUUCCUUUAUAGCUCAGGCAUUUUGUCUGGCUUCUGCAACCACACGGUGUCAGGCCAUUCCGGAACUUGGCCAGGUUUAGCACACCUGAGUGAAACAUCUGGGGCAAAGGAAAACCCCUUCAACAGCAGCUUUGUUCCCUUUGAACAGUGGAAGAAAUGGCCUUAGGAAAAGAUUGAUUUGUGCUAGAAAAAUAGAAACCAUGGGGAUCUAUUCAAAAAUAAGUUUGUGUUUUAAAUCAAUUAUGUACUAAAAAUCUGAUACGGGCCAAUUGUAAUUGCAGUGCUGUGUAUUCAGAUUCCUCGAUUGUGUGUAUAUAUGUUUUGGGGGGAGGGCGAGUGAACAUUUCAAAAAACUAUAAUAAACUGGGCUGUGAUCUCACCAUAUGUGUUGAAUUGAACACAACUCUUCUGCUUUUAAUGAAGACUUUAGCCUUUAGGGGUAAAUAAAACAUCACUAAACAGGGAUGGCCUGAAUAUUUUUUACUGGCUGUAAUAAUUAAAGCCAUGAAAAAGGUGGUGGGGUUAUGUUACUUAUUAACUUGAAUCACUCUUAGAUUUGAUCAAGACGUGGUUGCCCAUGGCGUUUUGUUUCAUGUUUGUCCUUUGUUUCAUUGACAUGCUCUGCCCUGGCCUCCAUGGCACUAGAAAAGCAGUGAAGCAGUUAGGAACCAGACCCUAAAGGGCUUUUAGACCCCCUAUCCAGCUUUCUUCUCAUCUCAGCCCACCGACUCCAGCAAACUUCUCAGCCACUAGAGUCGAGCCUGAAAUUCCCCAUGAAGCUGUGUCCUUGGGGAUGAGGGGAGGGCCCAGGAAGGAAUCCUCCCCUCUUAGGAGGAAACUGAUCAGACUGCAGGUGUAGCCGAGAGCCUUUAAAGAAUGUUUUUAUCUUCCUCACAUAUUGAGCCAAACACAAACCAGCAGUGAGGUUGAUUCUAAGAGGAACUUAGAACCCACAUGUAUUAGUUUCCUGUUGCCGUUGUAACAGAUUACCACAAAUUCUGUGACUUAUAACAACACAGAUUUAUUACCUACAGUAUCUGGAGGUAAGAUGUCCAAAAUCAUUCUCAUUGGGCGAAGUUCAGGGUGUCAGUAGGCCACUCUGGAGGCUCUGGGAGAAUCCACUUCCUUUCUUUUUCCAGUUUCUAGAGGUCCCUGAGUCCUUGGCUCAUGGUCUCUUCCUCCAUCUUCAAAACCAGCAAGGCCCGGCCAGUCUUUCUCACGCUACUGUCUCUCUGGUUCUCUCUUCCUUGCCUGUCUUCUUCCUUCUAAGGACCUUGUGAUUACAUCAGGUUCACUCGGUAAUCCAGGAUCAUCCCAGCUCUAAAUCGGCUGAUUAGCAACCUUAACUCUCCCUUGCCGGGCAACCUAAAGUACUCACUGGUUCCAGGGAUCAGGGUGUGGCCAUUAUCUUGUUUACCACACUAGAGAGUAUUGAUAAUGUAAGAGAUUAGUGAAUUAGGAGUUCAUAGAGUUGGAUAGUAGAUACAGGCUGUGUGGUAUUAGAAGUGGGUUUUCAUAGCUUCUUACUAAGGUUUCUUAUAACUACUAUCUGGAAAAAUUAUAUAUGUACAUGAACACACAUGGUAUGUAACACCAAUAAAUAAAAAGAUCUUUAUUUU